rnacentral:rRNA from 1 species
CAGGCUGCAACCCGCCUGCAUGAAGCCGGAAUCGCUAGUAAUCGCGGAUCAGAAUGCCGCGGUGAAUACGUUCCCGGGUCUUGUACACACCGCCCGUCACACCAUGGGAGUCGGGAAUGCCCGAAGCCGGCGGCCUAACCGAAAGGGGGGAGCCGUCGAAGGCAGGCCCGGUGACUGGGGUGAAGUCGUAACAAGGUAAC